rnacentral:lncRNA from 1 species
AUAAAUACGAAAAUAAUGGUCAAAAUUAUUGAGGCGUAUUAUUUCAAAUUUUGACAGUCUAGUAUAAUGAAAGAUUGACAAGAACACAGAACGACAUGAGUCAGAAUUUUUCGGGAUUUACCCAUCUUUUGAUUUCUAUUCCUCCGUAUCUCAGAGCUUUUUUACUGGGCUUUUUGACUCACCUUCGAAUCCCAAGUUUUGCAAAGAGGAAAGUCCCACUUCAUCUUGCGCUGUUUUCUUCUUCAAUACGCGGGUUUUUUACAUAUUACAUGGAAAGGGAAAUAAAGAAUUAAGAAAAAUGAGCGUUUCUUUGACGGUAAUGACCUUUAAUCUUCUUGAAGAUCAGGUAGAAGGCAGCCCAAAUUCAUGGGAUAAAAGGAAGGAUUUGUGUGUAACAGUCAUCACCAGUUACUCUCCAAUGAUUCUUUGCACCCAACAAGGUUCGUGUUUGAUUAGUUUGUCGGAAAACUAAUAUAUCUCUGGAUCUUGAUCGUUUAUUGCAUUUGGGCCUGCUUGGAUUUACCAUUUGGAGAUCGGUAUCGUUUGUUUUUAGAAAUUGUUAAGAUUUAUUUUUGGAAAAAGUGACAAUGGCGGUUCGACUGUUUUUUUUUUUUUUUCCUUUUUUAUUUUUUUGUUGAUUUUGAUUGAUUUUAAGAAUUUUUUUCUUUUGUUUUUGCACGUGGUUAGGCUUGAAGACACAAUUGGAUUAUCUUCAGCAAUGCUUGCCUGGUAAAGUUCUUCAUUAUUUGGUUGAUAGAUCGCAUUAGAAGAAAUUUUGAGUUUUUCUUUUUGACUGUCAUUAAAAAAGGGGGAAAUGCUCAAGAGAUUUCAUCUUGUAGAAAUAAAAUGGACCUGCUUAUGUAUCAUUGAAAUCGACCCUCUUGCUCAAGAACUAUGGAAUAAGAUAAAAUUUAUAAUUCAACUCAAUUUUUGUAAUCAGCUAAAGUCAAGUUAUAUUGGCAACUUCUCAGUUUUUAUUUUAUUUUCUUUUUUGAGUUAAGAUAACUAGUAUCAACUCAUGUUAAGGCUCUAAUUGCUUCAAAUGAAAUGUUUUUGGUUUUAAAAACUUAUCCGGGGGGAAAAAAAUUUAUGAAAAAGAAACUUUGUGAUACCUUUAUCUUUGAGCUGCUGACUACUAGCAAUAGCCAGUAAAUGCUAACAUGGAGGGGUCUUGUGCAAUUUGUCGUGGUUUCUGAUGACUAUCUAGUUGUUACUGGUGACAAGUAUAUGGUGGUCAGGGACUGGUGACAGUCUGCUGUGAUGGUUAAAUAACUUAAGACUACUGGAUGGUGCUUGCAAUGCUUGCUUCAUGGAUGUCAAUGACUGCAAGGUAUCCUCAGGCAACUGUACAGUAGUUGCUGGUAGCUUACAGGUGUUCGUUGGUCGGUGGUCUGUGUUUGAUGUCAUCACUGGCAGGGUGGUAAUAGGUAGUGGUUAUCCAGUGGCUGCUGGUGGUUUUGCACAAAAAAUUUCCCAUGUGUAAAUGGAGAAAACAUCUUUAUUCAAAUUAACUUAGCUUUCCUUCAACCAGAAAAAACAUUUUUUGUCAAUCAAUUGAAAUUUUAUACACUGAACAUCAGAAAAUGUGGAAAAAAAUUUCACUAGUAUAACAAUCAGAGAUUAAGUGGAAAGGAUAGAACUAUUGGCUUUGUCUGAUUGAAAUCUGUGGGUGGUAUAUGAGAUCAUGGCAGUUGAAAUAUCUUCUGACCAUCCCGACGCAGCACUCACUUAAACACCAUUACUUUUACUUUCUGAUAAGAAAAUACGUGCCUGCAUUUCUAAGUUAGUAUUUCUGGUUAUGCUUUAAAAUCAAGGAUAUUGUGUCUAUUAAGUUGAUGAUGACGGUCCUUAUAUUGAAUAAUCUCUUAUAGUCGGAUUAUCUACCAGCUACUAGGUGAACAAGUUGAAAGAAGUCUCCUUAGAAUUGUUUAAUUGGUGGAUGAAUACCCAACACCUAGAAAGAACCUGAAGGCUGGAGAAUAAGGUGUUCAGCACUUGGAAAAGAAGCUCUAAAGUAUUGCAAAAGUUGAUGCAUACUUUGGUUCACCUUGAGUUUAAAGAGUUGAGAAUGUCACAAUAUCAGCUGUUUCCUGGUAGACUGAGUCUUGCUUGAUAGCAUAGGCAUAUGUGGUGUAUCUAUUUGUUAAUUUUUGUCCAAACAAUUAUAUCUUGUAGAAUUUUUUAUUGGGUGUCAAAUGGAAAGUUGUUAAAAUUUUGUUAAUAAAUUAACAAUAUAAAGAGUCGUUCGUAACCAAAUUAGAUGAAUUUGCCACACUGGACUUCAUGUGGUUUCAUUGCUGGUCAUAGUAGCUUUUGGUUUUCAGAUGAGCCAGUAUAUGGUACGGGGCGUAAAAGCAUAAUGAGCACAUAAAGAUUUGCACAAAGUGAUGGAGGAGAUGAGCAGGAAUACAUCAGAGAUAAUACUUCAAACAGAUUGAUAUGAAUUUAUACUUUAGUUCUAAAUUUCUAAAAUGUAGAGUUAUUAAGGGAUAGGCGAGUGAGUGUUCUCUGAUAAAUGGCCACAUUGUGUGGUUGAAUAGAUUUAUGAAAGAAUGGAAUGAAAUAGAAUAAAAUUGGGAUAUCCCAUUUGUGGCAUAUUUUAGACAGAAUAUACAAGUCAAGCUAUAUUGCCGUUGUUGAUUCUGUUUGGUUGUUCGUCAAUAAUGCUGAAAGUGAUACCUGUAAAAUUACUAUGUAUAACCUUGUAUUAACAAAAUUUGUACUACUACAUUACAAUCAUAAUCUAAUCAAUUAUUGGUCACAAUAAACAAAUGCAAUGUAGUAAAGCAUGCCUUUCCCGUGCUUUUUAGAAGUUCUAUGCCAUGCCACUGCAGAAGAGCAUGGUGCAAUAAGUCUCACAUUGGUAAGUGUUAGCUUAGGCUCAAGCCUAGAUAUCUUUUAAACAACUAUCAUGGAGCGUAGAAGUAGUGGGUGGACAGGGAAGAUGCCAUCAGUAGAGGUGUUGGUAUCCGGAUAUAUAAAAUGGUAAAGAGCUUUUAUCUUUUGAGCAUCGAUUCCCAAUGUUAUCCAAGUCUUGGUCAUUCAUCCAAAUAAUAACUGUUUUGAUGGUAAUGUUUUAUAUAACGUGGAAAUUACAAGCUAAUGUUAUAAUCCUUUGCAAUAACUCAUUUCUCUUGAAUUGGUAUAUUCUAUAUGAUGUGCAACUCAUUCUCUCCAAUGAAAUAGAUUAUGAACAUUUUGGAAUAUCAAGGAAAGGAUCUGACGACACUUCAGAUCAACAUUGCACUAUCUUUUAUGAUAAGGAAAAGGUGAAAUAUCUAACUCUUUUUCUUUAUCAGGAAAAUCAAAAAUAUAAUUUCUUUCUAAAACAUUACCUAAUUGAUGCAGGUUGAGCUGCUGGAAGGUGGAACUUUUUGGUUGUCAGAGUCGCCUUCAGUGCCUGGAAGCACAUCAUGGGGGUCUGCAGAUCCAUGCAUUGCAACGUGGGCUAUAUCCUUUAGCGCUUCUAUAAGGUGUCUUAAAUUAUUAUUUGCCGCAUAGUACUACUGCAUGCAAUAACUGUGCGAACUUUGUUUACCUUGAUAAAUUGUGUACACAUUCCAACUAAAAGGAGUUGAGCCACCGGGUUUUUCGUUUGAAAUCGUGAAUACAAACAUGGAUGAGUUCAGUCCUCGUGCUCGUAGGCGGGGUGCUUUGCUCACAUGGCAGCAUAUUGCAUCCUUACCUCCUAGCUUGCCUGUUGUGUAUUGUGGAGGAUUUAAUACACAAAAGGAAUCAACUACAGGACGUUUUCUUCUUGGACGAUCAAGGUAUUACUUUCAGUUUCUAUAUGUCGUUCAUCUUUUAGCAAAUCUAUCCUCUUUUCUUUUCUCGUACUAGUAAAGCUCAACUUGAUCAAUAGCAGUUAUAUUCACACAUGAAUCAAGUGAUCCUGGUUUUAUUGAACCUUCACUUCAGAAUAUUAGAAACGAACAGUUGACUUGACCCGAAUUCACAGAGCUCACAAUGGCAAAGCCGCCAUUGUCUUAAUCCUAGAUUUACAAUGGGUGAUAACUAUCCUGAAACUAGACCAGUUAGGAUUAUAUUUUUUAUGUAUUCAAAAGUAAAGUUGUCAAAUGCGAGUUGUGGCCACUUGUGAGCCUUGUGAAUUUAAGUGUUACUAAUAAAAAAUGACUAGUUUUAAAUAAUUGCAGAAGAAAUGGAGCAGGUGUAGAACUGAUAUAAACAAGAAAGAUUACACAACGCUUUUGCCUUUUCAGAAUGCUGCAACCGUUUGUCCUGAAAUUCCUUCUAAUGAGCCUGAAGUUUGUUGUGUUUAUCCUCUUGCUGGAUGCUAAUAUUAGUUGGAACACUGGAUAGCUGCUUACUUUUUUCUCAUUAUUUCUAUUUUAGAGAACAUGGCGUUGUAGGUGAUAUGAGAGAUGCAUGGCCAAAUGCCCGUGUGAGGAAAAACGUCUCUCUAAUUCGGACUUAUCAUGGAUUUAAAGGUGAUGACUUAUCCUCUACGCUACCAUUGACUUCUAAUGGGCUAAACUCUUUAAAACCACGUAACCUAGAUUGUGUCAGGUAACAAGCAGGGGACUCUUGAAUUCCUGAAGUUAAUAUUCAGAGCACUUUGCCUCUGCUGGGAUCGCCAAACCCAGGAUCUGCACAUCGAUUGGAUACUUUUUAGGGGUAGAUCACUGGUACCUGUCUCUUGUGAGGUCGUGAAUGAUAAUGUUGAUGGACUUUAUCCUUCGUCUCACUAUCCUAUAUUUGCUGAAUUUAUGCUUCCCCGUGCUGUGAGAUUGAUCGAGCCACCCACUCAAGAUUGAAACCACUAUCCAUCGCCCACCCGGGUUUUGGUCCCUCUGUUUUAGUACAAUGUUCAUCAAUCUUUUGGUUUUCUACUUCUAAUGUGUCUUCGUGUUUGUUGACUAUGUUAAACAUCGUGAGUUUUUCCAUCAAGGAUUGGUGCGUAAGUAGUGCCUACAAGGUGUUGAAGAUGACGGAUUUUAUUUACGUGCUUGACUAUCUCUUUUGCAAUAAAAAGAAUUUUUUUUUUCAAGUUUCCUGUAUUCCCUGUUCUCAAGUUCUUGCUUGUACAUUU